AGCUCUGUUAGGGAUUUUUGGGUCUUCCAGUGAAGCAUUGACGUUGGUACAGGGUGAUUGACGAUGAUCUCAGGGGCUAGAACUAUUAACACAAGAAAAUAUUUAUAUCAGCCAUGUGACAUUCAUAAUCAUUGAUAGAUAGAGUGAGCUGGUUCAAGAAACAAGCUAUCUUUGUGUGCUGUUGACAAAUUACCAAUUAUCCCUACUGCACUAGAAUUAAUUGGGAUACUAUUUACUACGUGGUUUACAUAUCGAUAUCUCUUGUUCAAGCCCGACCGGGAAGAGCUCUUUAGAAUCCUGAACAAGUCAGUAUCAGAU